rnacentral:rRNA from 1 species
AGCAUAUCAAUAAGCGGAGGAAAAGAAACCAACAGGGAUUGCCCUAGUAACGGCGAGUGAAGCGGCAACAGCUCAAAUUUGAAAUCUGCCUUCGGGCCGAGUUGUAAUUUGUAGAGGAAGCUUUUGGUGAGGCACCUUCUGAGUCCCCUGGAACGGGGCGCCAUAGAGGGUGAGAGCCCCGUAUAGUCGGAUGCCGAUCCAAUGUAAAGCUCCUUCGACGAGUCGAGUAGUUUGGGAAUGCUGCUCAAAAUGGGAGGUAAAUUUCUUCUAAAGCUAAAUACCGGCCAGAGACCGAUAGCGCACAAGUAGAGUGAUCGAAAGAUGAAAAGCACCUUGAAAAGGGGGUUAAAUAGCACGUGAAAUUGUUGAAAGGGAAGCGUUUGCGGCCAGACUUGCGCCGCCCCGAUCAUCCGGUGUUCUCACCGGUGCACUCGGGGCGGCGCAGGCCAGCAUCGGUUUCGGCGGGGGGAUAAAGGCCCGGGGAACGUAGCUCCUUCGGGAGUGUUAUAGCCCCGGGCGUAAUGCCCUCGCCGGGACCGAGGUUCGCGCAUCUGCAAGGAUGCUGGCGUAAUGGCCGCCAACGACCCGUCUUGAAACACGGACCAAGGAGUCAAGGUUUUGCGCGAGUGUUUGGGUGUAAAACCCGCACGCGUAAUGAAAGUGAACGUAGGUGAGAGCUUCGGCGCAUCAUCGACCGAUCCUGAUGUAUUCGGAUGGAUUUGAGUAAGAGCGUUAAGCCUUGGACCCGAAAGAUGGUGAACUAUGCUUGGAUAGGGUGAAGCCAGAGGAAACUCUGGUGGGAGGCUCGCAGCGGUUUCUGACGUGCAAAUCGAUCGUCAAAUCUGAGCAUGGGGGGCGAAAGACUAAUCGAAACCAUCUAGUAGCUGGGUACCGCCGA